CUGAAAGAAAGGGAAGAAUGCCAGUCUACUUUGGGAACGAGUCCUAUUGCAAAGAUGUCAAGACAAAAGAUUUGAAAUCCAACACAUCUAGAGAAGGUUGCAAAGCUGAAGAAGGUUAUCAGAAUCUCUUGAAUGUGACAUCGCAUUAUAAUGUCAUCAAAGCAGCACGGCUGGGGCCCCACAGACGUUGGGAGGAAUGCUGUUCCAGAGGAUAAGCAUGGGGGCAGAGAAGCAACAGGUAAUCAUAGAUAUCAAAAAACAACCCACACUAAUCAAGUGCUACAUUACCAAAG